rnacentral:rRNA from 1 species
UACGUAGGGUGCAAGCGUUGUCCGGAAUUAUUGGGCGUAAAGAGCUCGUAGGCGGUUUGUCGCGUCUGCUGUGAAAACCCGAGGCUCAACCUCGGGCCUGCAGUGGGUACGGGCAGACUAGAGUGCGGUAGGGGAGAAUGGAAUUCCUGGUGUAGCGGUGAAAUGCGCAGAUAUCAGGAGGAACACCGGUGGCGAAGGCAGAUCUCUGGGCCGUAACUGACGCUGAGGAGCGAAAGCAUGGGGAGCGAACAGG